ACUCCUACGGGAGGCAGCAGUGGGGGAAAUAUUGCACAAAUGGGCGCAAGCCUGAUGCAGCCAUGCCGCGUGUGUGAAGAAGGCCUUCGGGUUGUAAAGCACUUUCAGUCGUGAGGAAGGUAGUGUAGUUAAUAGCUGCAUUAUUUGACGUUAGCGACAGAAGAAGCACCGGCUAACUACGUGCCAGCAGCCGCGGUAAUACGUAGGGUGCAAGCGUUAAUCGGAAUUACUGGGCGUAAAGCGUGCGCAGGCGGUUCGGAAAGAAAGAUGUGAAAUCCCAGAGCUUAACUUUGGAACUGCAUUUUUAACUACCGGGCUAGAGUGUGUCAGAGGGAGGUGGAAUUCCGCGUGUAGCAGUGAAAUGCGUAGNUAUGCGGAGGAACACCGAUGGCGAAGGCAGCCUCCUGGGAUAACACUGACGCUCAUGCACGAAAGCGUGGGGAGC
rnacentral:rRNA from 1 species